rnacentral:lncRNA from 1 species
GCAAAAGGGGAAUCCAUCAAGGACUGAUCUAUCUUUGAUUGAUUGAAGGUCCUCGCCUAGCCUCUUAAUAAGUUAAGGUUCUAUUUCCUUUUCUUGAUCUAAUCCCUUCUUAUUAAGAUCGGUUAAUCGUUUUUGCAGUGAGUGUUCAGGCAAGACUUUUUUGCUUGAGCCAUUCUGUAAUCAUUCCAUACCUUCUACAUUCUUAGUCUUCUCUAUACGACAACAAGGGGAUUGGACUACUUAUAUAUAAGACUGGAAGGCUGCAACUGGAGGCAAUUGGACGAAAGUUGGUAAACAAAUUCCAUGCCUUAAGCAUAGUAAAGUCACAUAUCCACUAAAUGCAAUAAAAAUAAGGACGAAAAAGCAAAUUUCUUACUCCCUUGCAGGCAAAAGAAAGAACGCAUACCAAUGCCUUCUCUCGGCCUAAGGAUAAGGAGUGUUUUCUAGGAUGCUAAAUAAAAUAGAUGGAUAAGGGGCGUAGCAGGAAGUCAAGCAGGAAAGUCAUCAGUGACGGCGUACUCUCUACCCGACAAGAGCUAUGUUGAUGCCCCCUACCAAGGGGUAACUUCCCGGUUCAUAAGCCAUUCCCUUCCAUUAUUAAAUCCAUCCAUGACAUUGUGUAUAUAACAAAACCCACUUGACCUUCCCGCUUGCCUGUAGAAUCAGAAAAGCAAGCUCAAAUCCCUAAUCUUUCGGUUGCCUGCCGACCUAUUGCAUUAAAG